GACGAACGCUGGCGGCGUGCUUAACACAUGCAAGUCGAACGGAAAGGCCCUGCUUUUGUGGGGGGCUCGAGUGGCGAACGGGUGAGUAACACGUGAGUAACCUGCCCUUGACUUUGGGAUAACUUCAGGAAACUGGGGCUAAUACCGGAUAGGAGCUCCUGCUGCAUGGUGGGGGUUGGAAAGUUUCGGCGGUUGGGGAUGGACUCGCGGCUUAUCAGCUUGUUGGUGGGGUAGUGGCUUACCAAGGCUUUGACGGGUAGCCGGCCUGAGCGGGUGACCGGCCACAUUGGGACUGAGAUACGGCACAGACUCCUCCGGGAGGCAGCAGAGGGGAAUAUUGCACAAUGGGCGGAAGCAUGCUGCAGCACCGCCGCGUGCGGGAUGACGGGAUUCGGGUUGUAAACCGCUUUCGCCUGUGACGAAGCGUGAGUGACGGUAAUGGGUAAAGAAGCCCCGGCUAACUACGUG
rnacentral:rRNA from 1 species